rnacentral:rRNA from 1 species
AUGUCUGAAUACUUAAAGUUGUGUUUUUUCUAUUGUGCAAUAUUUCCAAAAGGUCACAAUAUAGUGAAGUAUGAUCUAUUUCACCAAUGGAUAGCUCUUCGACUCAUUGAGCCAUCUAGGAUAUUUGAUUCUAUGCAGCUCUGCGAGAAAUAUAUUACACAACUUUUGGGAAUGUCCUUCCUCGAAUAUUCAAAGCCACCUUCAAGUGAUAGACAUCGGGUCAAAGAUGUUGCAUUGUUCACAAUGCAUGACCUAGUGCACAAUCUCGCCAGAAGGAUGUUGGCCGAUCAAGUCAACGAUAAGGGCGGUGCUGGGGGAGACAGAUGCCGCUAUGCAUUGCUCACGGACUGUACGAAGCCGUUGCAGUUGUCCAUGACUUUUCCUGCAAAUAUAAAGGCGUUGCAUUUUCUUGAUUGUCGCAAAUUAGCACUUCAUGAGGAUGCAUUUUCACUAGCUACAUGCCUCCAUGUCUUAGAUUUAAGUCAAUGCCUUAUUUGUAGGUUACCUGAUUCCAUUGGUCAACUGAAGCAAUUAAGAUAUCUUCAUGCUCCAAGGAUCCAAGGUCAUGUGAUUCCCAGUUGUAUAACCGAGCUCACAGAAUUAAAUUACCUCAACCUUAGUGGCUCCCGUAAUAUCUCGGCAUUGCCGGAGUCAAUUGGUGACAUGAAAGGUCUGAUGCAUCUUGACCUAUCAGUUUGCACUGGAAUACGUAAGCUUCCAGUAUCAUUCACAGAUCUCAAGCAGCUAGUGUAUCUGGAUUUAUCAUACUGCAAUAUAUCUAUAUCAGAAGCUUUUGUUGGCUUUACCAAACUUCAAUAUUUGAAUUUAUCGGCAGGACUUAUGGGUAAAGUGACUAAUACGGGCCAGAGGUUUUCAGCAAUCUAA